rnacentral:rRNA from 1 species
AUGGGCGCAAGCCUGAUCCAGCAAUGCCGCGUGAGUGAUGAAGGCCUUAGGGUUGUAAAGCUCUUUCACCCACGACGAUGAUGACGGUAGUGGGAGAAGAAGCCCCGGCUAACUUCGUGCCAGCAGCCGCGGUAAUACGAAGGGGGCUAGCGUUGUUCGGAAUGACUGGGCGUAAAGGGCGCGUAGGCGGUUGACCAAGUUGGGGGUGAAAGCCCGGGGCUUAACCUCGGAAUUGCCUCCAAAACUGGUCGGCUUGAGUGUGGAAGAGGGUUGUGGAAUUCCCAGUGUAGAGGUGAAAUUCGUAGAUAUUGGGAAGAACACCAUUGGCGAAGGCGACAACCUGGUCCAUUACUGACGCUGAGGCGCGACAGCGUGGGGAGCAAACAGGAUUAGAUACCCUGGUAGUCCACGCCGUAAACGAUGAGUGCUGGAUGUUGGACGGUUGCCGUUCAGUGUCGAAGUUAACGCGAUAAGCACUCCGCCUG